rnacentral:rRNA from 1 species
CCUACGGGAGGCAGCAGUGAGGAAUAUUGGUCAAUGGGCGAGAGUCUGAACCAGUCAAGUCGCGUGAAGGAUGAAGGAUCUAUGGUUUGUAAACUUCUUUUAUAUGGGAAUAAAGUGAGGAACGUGUUCCUUUUUGUAUGUACCAUAUGAAUAAGCAUCGGCUAACUACGUGCCAGCAGCCGCGGUAAUACGGAGGAUGCGAGCGUUAUCCGGAUUUAUUGGGUUUAAAGGGUGCGUAGGUGGGUAAUUAAGUCAGCGGUGAAAGUUUGUGGCUCAACCAUGAAAUUGCAAUUGAAACUGGUUGACUUGAGUAUAUGUGAGGUAAGCGGAAUGCGUAGUGUAGCGGUGAAAUGCAUAGAUAGCACGAAGAACUCCGAUUGCGAAGGCGGCUUUCUAAACUAUAACUGACACUGAAGCACGAAAGCGUGGGGAGCAAACAGGAUUAGAUACCCUUGUAGUC